rnacentral:rRNA from 1 species
GACGGGGGGGGCAAGUGUUCUUCGGAAUGACUGGGCGUAAAGGGCACGUAGGCGGUGAAUCGGGUUGAAAGUGAAAGUCGCCAAAAAGUGGCGGAAUGCUCUCGAAACCAAUUCACUUGAGUGAGACAGAGGAGAGUGGAAUUUCGUGUGUAGGGGUGAAAGUCCGUAGAUCUACGAAGGAACGCCAAAAGCGAAGGCAGCUCUCUGGGUCCCUACCGACGCUGGGGUGCGAAAGCCAUGGGGAGCGAACAGG